rnacentral:rRNA from 1 species
AUUGAACGCUGGCGGCAUGCCUUACACAUGCAAGUCGAACGGUAACAGGUUAAGCUGACGAGUGGCGAACGGGGGAGUAAUGUAUCGGAACGUGCCCAGUCGUGGGGGAUAACUGCUCGAAAGAGCAGCUAAUACCGCAUACGACCUGAGGGUGAAAGCGGGGGAUCGCAAGGCCUCGCGCGAUUGGAGCGGCCGAUACCAGAUUAGGUAGUUGGUGGGGUAAAGGCUCACCAAGCCGACGAUAUGUAGCUGGUCUGAGAGGACGACCAGCCACACUGGGACUGAGACACGGCCCAGACUCCUACGGGAGGCAGCAGUGGGGAAUUUUGGACAAUGGGCGGAAGCCUGAUCCAGCCAUGCCGCGUGCGGGAAGAAGGCCUUCGGGUUGUAAACCGCUUUUGUCAGGGAAGAAAAGGUUCUGGCUAAUACCUGGGACUCAUGACGGUACCUGAAGAAUAAGCACCGGCUAACUACGUG